GGGAGUGGAAUUCUGAGCCAAAGGAGACCCGUGUUUCCAAUGUACCUGCACUGUGGAAAGUUCGAAGGAGUGGACCCCUCGCCAGCAGUGAUACAUGGAAUAGAAAUGCACUCCAGGCAUGCUGGGAUACAGAGGAAAACUAUGUGCCCAUGGAGGUGAUUCCUACAAGAAUUUACUGAGGAGAGGGAUCUGGUGAGCAAUCCAGAAAAAGGGUUCUAGGUUCCUUCCUGAGGGUUCCUCACAGGCCGCCUUCAGAGACGGAGGAGGCAGCAUCCACGAAAUAAGCCCAAAUCUGUGCCUCUUCCACACGAACAUUGCACACACUGUUCUAGAACCUGGUGUGGCUCCACAAGGAAGAGCCCCUGCUAGGCGAGCAGCCACACAGAAUGCAGAGAGGAGCCUUCACUCAUCUUGAGUAGGGAAGAAUGAGCCAGGGCCUGUGAGGCACAUGGAGAUACUUGUCUGAAGGAUUUGGCUGGCUCUUAGAAAUCACCGCUCAGAUGCCUGAAGCAGAGGCAGAAACACCUGCAGUGGCUGCUGCCCUGCAGGCACCUCUGUCCUGGAGUCACCAAGAACAUCUACCUCCCUGCUCCUCUGAAGAGAAGCCCAGGACACCUGUUGCUGAGGGGCCAGGUAGUUAGUGUGGGCCAGGUAGUUAGUGUGGUAGUUAGUGUAGAGCAGACUGGCU
rnacentral:lncRNA from 1 species